rnacentral:rRNA from 1 species
AUUGAACGCUGGCGGCAUGCCUUACACAUGCAAGUCGAACGGUAACAGGUCUUCGGAUGCUGACGAGUGGCGAACGGGUGAGUAAUACAUCGGAACGUGCCUAGUCGUGGGGGAUAACUACUCGAAAGAGUGGCUAAUACCGCAUGAGAUCUACGGAUGAAAGCAGGGGAUCGCAAGACCUUGUGCUACUAGAGCGGCCGAUGGCAGAUUAGGUAGUUGGUGGGAUAAAAGCUUACCAAGCCGACGAUCUGUAGCUGGUCUGAGAGGACGAUCAGCAACACUGGGACUGAGAAACGGCCCAGACUCUUACGGGAGGCAGCAGUGGGGAAUUUUGGACAAUGGGCGCAAGCCUGAUCCAGCAAUGCCGCGUGCAGGAUGAAGGCCUUCGGGUUGUAAACUGCUUUUGUACGGAACGAAAAGCCCCGGGUUAAUACCCUGGGGUCAUGACGGUACCGUAAGAAUAAGCACCGGCUAACUACGUGCCAGCCGCCGCCGUAA